rnacentral:rRNA from 1 species
UACGUACCGUCCAAACGUUAUCCGGAAUCACUGGGCUUAAAGAGUUUGUAGGCGGCGGAGAAAGUCGGGUGUGAAAGCCCUCGGCUCAACCGAGGAAUAGCGCCCUAAACUACUUCGCUUGAGGAGGCUAGAGGUGAGCAGAACAGAUGGUGGAGCGGUGAAAUGCGUUGAUAUCAUCUGGAAUACCGGAGGCGAAGGCGGCUCGCUGGGACGUUUCUGACGCUGAGGAACGAAAGCGAGGGUAGCGAACGGG